CCUCAACUGCUGGUAAGCCUUGUCCGGACUCCUACGGGAGCCAGACUUCACCUUUAACUUUAAUUGCAGGAAGACUUCGCCCAGACUCCUACGGGAGCCGAGCUCCAUCCAUGACUUUUGCCGCAAGGGAGACUCCGCCCGGACUCCUACGGGAGCCGGACUCCGCCCACGACCCCGACUGCAAACAGACUUCGCCCAAACUCCUACGGGUACCGGACCUCGCUACCAACUCCAACCGAACUUCGGCCGACAAAUCUGGACCCCCUGGCAGGCCACAGUAACGGACA
rnacentral:lncRNA from 1 species